UCUCUCUUCUAAACUCUGCCCCCUCUCUCUCUCUCUCUCUCCUAACCCUCUGCCUCAGCUCUCUCUCCUCUCUGAUCUCUUCUCCUCCGCCAGCGUAGGUUCGAGAACAACCGCGGUGUUGCCUAAUCUCAAAUAAGGAAGAGGUGGCGUGAGGCCGUUUUCGGCGACGUUGAAGCUAGAAGGCGGUUGAUUCUGCGAUGAAGGUGACGGUGUUUUCACUAAAUGAGGCGAGGCUUCGUUGUUGGAGAUGCAAGGGCAAGGAGGCGGAGUAGUCGAUGGCGGUGAUGAUGGAGGCCUUCGCUACCGCCGGUGAAGAAUCCUCUCGACAAGGUUAGGUAAGGCUUACUGUUUCUGUUUUUGCUUUUUUUUAAUUAAUUCUUUUGAUUUUAAUUUUUGUAUUGGUUUUGUUGCGCUGUUGGCGGUGGUUGCGCUGUUGGAGAAUUUCAAGCGGUUGACGGUGGAGAUGGUGGUGGAGCACCGCUUCAACUGGUGGUUGUUUGGUCGUUGUUAUUGUUGUUGUUGUUGUUUGGCCUGUUUUAAUUUCCAAAUCUGUAUUGUAAAUGUAAACAAUUUUAUUCAUUUAUAUUAGUCAUUAUUGAAUUGGUUUUAGUUAUGAAUAA